rnacentral:miRNA from 1 species
AGGUCAUGUGGCAGCUUCAUU